rnacentral:rRNA from 1 species
UACGUAGGGACCAAGCGUUGUUCGGAUUUACUGGGCGUAAAGGGCGCGUAGGCGGCAUGACAAGUCACUUGUGAAAAUCUCCGGGCUUAACUCGGAACGGCCAAGUGAAACUGUCAAGCUAGAGUGCGGAAGGGGCAAUCGGAAUUCUUGGUGUAGCGGUGAAAUGCGUAGAUAUCAAGAGGAACACCUGAGGUGAAGACGGGUUGCUGGGCCGACACUGACGUGAUGCGCGAAAGCCAGGGGAGCAAACGGGG